rnacentral:rRNA from 1 species
GAUGAACGCUAGCUACAGGCUUAACACAUGCAAGUCGCGGGGCAGCAUGGGGGUUGCUUGCACUCCCCGAUGGCGACCGGCGCACGGGUGAGUAACGCGUAUCCAACCUGCUCUUCACCACGGGAUAACCCGGCGAAAGUCGGACUAAUACCGUAUGUUGUCCAUUGACGGCAUCCGAUUUGGACGAAAGGGUUGGCGGUGAAGGAUGGGGAUGCGGCCGAUUAGCUGGACGGCGGGGUGACGGCCCACCGUGGCGACGAUCGGUAGGGGUUCUGAGAGGAAGGUCCCCCACACUGGAACUGAGACACGGUCCAGACUCCUACGGGAGGCAGCAGUGAGGAAUAUUGGUCAAUGGGCGUAAGCCUGACCCAGCCAAGUAGCGUGCAGGAUGACGGCCCUAUGGGUUGUAAACUGCUUUUAUGCGGGGAUAAAGUGGCCCACGUGUGGGUUUUUGCAGGUACCGCAUGAAUAAGGACCGGCUAAUUCCGUG